AGUCAAUUAAAAUAUAAAUAUAUAACAAUCCCAAACAAACAAUUAUGUUAUGCAACAUAAAUAGAAUUCUAUAAUAUACAACAAAUAAAUAUUCAUAAUCUAGACAAAGAAAAGAAUUUCAAAAUAAAAAAUAUUCAGAUACAAUUUAGAAACUUACUUAAGUUACUUGUCAUAAUUCAAUUUCAAUGAUUCCCCAAAUGUUCAAAACCUCAAACCAAAUUUGUUUUCUAUAUUCAAACAAAAUCAUGAAUUUCAAGGCUUAAAUUAGUUUUGGUAUAGGAUCUUAAUAAAUACUCCCUCCAUCCCAUUAUAUCUCACUUCACACAGAUUAAGAAUAGAUGCAAUUUUACUAUUUUACCCUUAGUUAAUACUUUAAUCUCGUCAUGUGCUCUGUCUUCUUCAUCUCUAUCACCUGAAGAAGAAUACUAUGUCAGCAUAGGUAACAAUUGAUCCAUGAACAGCCACCAUUUAUCUCAUCCUACACUCCGUCGUCUUUUUCUUCAUCUCUUCAUCAGCCGAAUCUGACCGAGAUCUGACUGGUUAGUAAAACAAUGACCAAAAUCUGACCGAUUAGUAAAACAAUGGACGGAUCUGACCGGUUGUCCAAUACCUACGCGAACACCGUACGAGAGUAGGAAGCUCUGGCAGAGGUUUCCAAUGGCGUUGGCGAAUCAUGAAUCGUCGGCAUGAUCGCACGAGGGAUGAAUAUGUCGCGUGCGCCGCUGCCGGCGCUCCAAUUCCUCCAUGGCCUCCCUCAGUCGAUCCUCAGCCUCCCGCAGGCGCAAAUUCGCGGCGUCGCUGUCGGAGGCCGGAGAUGAGAACGAAGUGGUCUUGGACAGAGAUGACAUGUAGAGAUAGCAAGCAUCUGUUGAGGGAGAGAAUUUGGAUAAAAAAGUAAAUGGUGUUAUAGAAUGGGUGUUUUCGUGAUCAUUACUGUUUGAAGUGUGUGUGUUUGUGAGAGAGAAUGGAAUUUGAAUUGUCACAGAGAAAAUAGCCAUUAAUGGUGGUGGAGAAGGAAGGGUAGAGAAGAAAAAUAAAUAGGCAAAAUAUUCUUAAUAUUGUAGAACGUUAAAUAUUUUGAAAAAAAAAAUACUCUAAAACGUUAAAUAUAAUGAGAUGAAAGGAGUAUAUAAUAAUUGUGAUAUUAACAAAUGUAAAAAGGACCCUACUCCUUCAUGUGUUCCAUGCGGCCAGG
rnacentral:lncRNA from 1 species